GACGUAGGGUGCAAGCGUUGUCCGGAAUUAUUGGGCGUAAAGAGCUUGUAGGCGGUCUGUCGCGUCUGCUGUGAAACUCGGGGCUUAACCCCGGCCUGCAGUGGGUACGGGCAGACUAGAGUGCGGUAGGGGAGACUGGAAUUCCUGGUGUAGCGGUGAAAUGCGCAGAUAUCAGGAGGAACACCGGUGGCGAAGGCGGGUCUCUGGGCCGUAACUGACGCUGAGGAGCGAAAGCAUGGGGAGCGAACAGG
rnacentral:rRNA from 1 species